UUUCAUCGAAAUCUGAGGUUAAGGGCAUUUUGCCUAUCUUAUCGGGGGGUACCCUUUGAUUUCAAAAAAUUCAAAAUUCAUCAAAGAUCACGAAAUACACUUCGGUACGUGAAAUUUCGGUUAGUAGGUACCUACAUAAUGUGUUUUUGAAUGUUCUUUCGAGUUUCGAUUUGGCUUUGUGCGGUUUAAAAAUUUUACUAUUUUUUGGGAAAUUUCCUGUCGUGAAUUAUCUGUGAACCAGCCACAAGUAAGCACUAACACACCUAUGUAUUUUUUUUUUUUUUUAUCAGCGGUACAUAAGUACGAGUAUACAUAUAAACAACUCGUAUAGUAGGUAGGUAGGUAAGUACGGUUUUUCUAAUUACUAAUACUUUAGCGUUAGUUGUUUGAGCUCUAUACGAUAGUCAAAAUGGUUCAAUAUUUUUCUAUACGUAUAUUUUGCGUUGUGUUGAUGACUUUUCAUCUCAAAAAUCUAGGUCAGUAAUGUAAUCAAAUCCUUUCAACCUUAUAGUAGACGCUCAACCGAGGUGCUCUACUGCUAAUCAAGAAUGGACGACUUGCGGAAGUGCUUGUCCACCAUCUUGUAAUUCCCCACCAAAUCAAGCAUGCACUUUGCAAUGUGUAGUAGGCUGCCAAUGUAAAGAAGG